CAGUAGCGGCGAGCGAAGCGGGAAAAGCCCGGGAUGAAAAUCUCCUCGGAGAGUUGUAUUCCGAGUGUUCCCAGGGUGGUCAGUGCGGGCAAGUCGUCUGGGAUGACGCGCCACGGAGGGUGAGAGCCCCGUCCAACCCGCACAGGAUCCACCCGUACAGGAACGCUUCAACCGAGUCGGGUAGUUUGGGAAUGCUGCUCUAACAUUGGUGGUAAAUCUCAUCAAAGGCUAAAUAAAAGUGGGAGACCGAUAGCGAACAAGUACCGUGAGGGAAAGAUGGAAAGAACUUUGAAAAGAGAGUGAAAAGCACUUGAAACCGUCACGGGGGAAGCGAAUUGCGUUAGUGAUGUUCUGGCCUGUUCAGCUAUUUGUCGAGAAAUGAAAUACCUUUUUCGUCAAACAGUGUAUUCUGGCAAGAACGUGCUUGUGUGGCUGGCGGGAGUGUGAUGAGACAGUGCGUAGGUAAAUCAUGGUCGUAAAAACACUGUGACGUGCCCAUUCUACUGACCCUCGACACUCUGAAACGCUGGUGAGGGCUCCCUCUUCCAUGAGGUUUUUGAGGACAUGAGCAAAAUGACGCAAUACGACCCGUCUUGAAACACGGACCAAGGAGUCUAGCACGGCUGCGAGUCGAAAGGUGAUUACGAAACCUAUUGGGCGCAGUGAAAGCAAAUCCAGGGGAGUUUUUUUUUAAAUUUUUCUGAACAAAGCAAAUUGGGGAGGCGUUGCGGUUUUACCAACAUGUCCUACCUUGAGCAUCUGUGCUGGGACCCGAAAGAUGGUGAACUAUGCCGGAGUAGGGCAAAGCCAGAGGAAACUCUGGUGGAGGCUCGUAGCGAUGCUGACGUGCAAAUCGCUCGUCGAACUUGGGUAUAGGGGCGAAAGACUAAUCGAACCAUCUAGUAGCUGGUUCCCUCCGAAGUUUCUCUCAGGAUAGCGGGCCGACAAAAAAAAUUUCAUAUUGUUGUUUUGUGUGGUAGAGCGAAUGAUUAGUGCAUUUGGGGGCCGAAGGCCUUCGGGCGAUUCUCAAACUUCAAAUACGCAAGGGGGCCGCUGCUUCACUGCGAACGUGAAAGGGGAGAAAUUUCAUUUCUUUCUUGAUCGUUCGCAAGUAUGAGCGUGCUCUUCGAAAAACGUCGGCUCCGUGGGCCAUUUUUGGUAAGCAGAACUGGCGAUAAGGGAUGAACCUUAAGCGCGGUUAAGGCGCCGCAUUGCCCGCUUAUAGACCCCACAAAAGGUGUUGAUUCAUUUAGACAGCAGGACGGUGGCCAUGGAAGUCGGAAUCCGCUAAGGAGUGUGUAACAACUCACCUGCCGAAUGAAUUAGCCCUGAAAAUGGAUGGCGCUGAAGCGGGCAGCCGACACCGCGCCGUUCAGGCGAAAACAUUUUUUUAAUAUAUAUGUCUGAAUGAGUAGGAGGGCGUGGCGGUCCGUGACGCAGGCGAGGGUGCAAACCCCGCUGAAACGGCCGCUAGUGCAGAUCUUGGUGGUAGUAGCAAAUAUUCAAGCGAGAUCCUUGAAGGGCGAAGCGGGGAAGGGUUCCAUGCUAACAUUGAUUGGGCGUGGGUGAGUC
rnacentral:rRNA from 1 species